rnacentral:rRNA from 1 species
CCUACGGGGGGCAGCAGUGGGGGAUAUUGCACAAUGGGGGAAACCCUGAUGCAGCGACGCCGCGUGUGGGAAGACGGUCCUCUGGGUUGUAAACCACUGUCCCCAGGGACGAAGAUGACGGUACCUGGGGAGGAAGCUCCGGCUAACCACGUGCCAGCAGCCGCGGUAAUACGUAGGGAGCGAGCGUUUUCGGGAAUUACGGGGUGAAAGGGGAGCGUAGGGGGGACUGAAAGUUGGGGGUAAAAUCUACCGGCUCAACCGGUAGCCGCACUCAAAACUGCAGUUCUUGAGUGAAGUAGAGGCAGGCGGAAUUCCUAGUGUAGCGGUGAAAUGCGUAGAUAUUAGGAGGAACACCAGUGGCGAAGGCGGCCUGCUGGGCUUUUACUGACGCUGAGGCUCGAAAGUGUGGGGAGCAAACAGGAUUAGAUACCCCUGUAGUC